UGGCGCAGUGGGUAGCGCAGCGGUUUUACACACCGUUGGUCGGGGGUUCGAAUCCCUC
rnacentral:tRNA from 1 species